UACGUAGGGGGCAAGCGUUGUCCGGAAUCAUUGGGCGUAAAGCGCGUGUAGGCGGUUCAGUAAGUCUGCUGUGAAAGUCCAGAGCUCAACCCUGGGAUGCCGGUGGAUACUGCUGGGCUAGAGUACGGAAGAGGCGAGUGGAAUUCCCGGUGUAGCGGUGAAAUGCGCAGAUAUCGGGAGGAACACCAAUUGCGAAGGCAGCUCGCUGGGACGUCACUGACGCUGAGACGCGAAAGCGUGGGGAGCAAACAGG
rnacentral:rRNA from 1 species